CCAAGUUCAGAAACACCAUUUUACCCUAAAAUUCCUCAUCAACCCUCAUUUUACCCCAAAUUCACCAACCUUCAUUCUCCGCUGCCGGCGUCACGGUUGCGCCGCCGUCACUCCGCUUGCUCGCGCCGCCGCCGUGCUCUAUUGCUGUCGUGCCGCUGUCGCUCCCCACUGUCGCUCAUCUUGCUCGCGCCGCCUGUCGCUCCGCUGCUGCCGCGCCGUCGUUGCUCCUUCUCUCUGUUGCUGCCGUCGCUCUUCCUACCUUGGUCCUUCUCCGCUCUCUCUCAAUCAAGCUCACAAGAAGAACCAGGAUCGGAUAAAGUUAGAGGAUGGUCAAGUUAAGUUGCAAUCCCGAUUAGAACAAGAAGAAGAAGCUAAAGCUGCUUUGUUAGGAAGAAUUCAACGGCUGACUAAACUGAUUUUGGUCUCCACAAAAGCAUCACAUUCAACCAGAUUUCCUAACAGGCCUGGUCCUCGUAGAAGACAUUCCUUCGGAGAAGAGGAGACAGGGCAACUCUUUCCAUGUUCCCUACAUGUUUUUAAUCAUCAACUAUGUUUAUAGCUGGCAUACUUCCAUACAAGAGGCGGGAUUUAAUCUUGAAUGAGGAAAAUAUUGAUAUGUUAAUCUGGAGGGAAAUGUUGAAACAACUGUUGAUUCUUUGAAGGAUGAAAAAAAGACAGAGAAACAUGGACUACUAAACUGGUUGAAGUUACGUUUUUAGAUAUGGAGAUUGAGAGAAGUGGAGAAAACAAAAUUCUUGGACUGAGAUUCACUUCAAGUCACAAGCGUUCAAAGAGUGAAGCAUUUUAUGGAAAGCAAGAAGCCAGUUACAUCCAUCUGCCGUGGCCAACAGAUUUUAGCUGCUGAAGAUGUGCUCAAGGUACUCUUAGAUCAUGUUUGAUAUAUUUCACAUUUGUUUCUCAACGACCACUGAAGUUGAGCUGUGUAAGCGAAACGUGUGUAGUGUCUACAUUGAUUUUAUUCUCAAAUUAGCAUGAUGUAAACUGUUCACAUUAAUUUGUUGACGCUUUAAACACAACUAAAUUUGGGAAGAUAUACUUUUUGCAA